CAGGUAGUUGAUGACACUCUAAUAAAGGGCCAAGACACCCUCUGGUAUUUAAAUGAUUGAUUUCCAGUGUGAGACGGGUUGGAAGGUGCAGCCCUGCCUACGUUUUUACUUUAUAAUUGCCAAAAAUUAUUUCAGUCCAACCUGUGGAAUAUUCAAAUAUUUGUAUUCGAUUUCUAUUUAAAUACCUGUACAUGCGUCGAAUUAAUGAUGAAAAAAUAUCGAGUACUAUUUUAAUUUUAUUAAUUAUCGUAGAGAGUGACUAUAAUAAUAAAACUUGUUUGCAACAUUUGCAGCUUAACCUUGCAAAGUGAAGCUGUAAAAUUUCAACCCCAUUGAAUUUGUCAGGUUUUCGGAAGUUUCGACUACAAAAUUAAAACGUGUAUACAUUUGUACAGUCAAUGUAUGUUUUCCAUCAGUUUUCUUAAUAUUCAUAUUUAAUAAUUAUAUAAGAAACUAUGGAAGAGUUCAUCUUCUUAUAAUUCAAUAACAAGUAAAAGUAUAAAUUCUACAAUACUACGUUACGAUUGCUCAACCGAGCAUGUCCUUGCCCUUCUGUCCACAAGUUAAGACUUGGACUGUCCAUCGGCCACUAUCACUAUUGACGAACCAGCAACUUUGGAUGCUGAUAUCUUGAUACUAGAUCUUACGCACGGUCUUCUUGGUCAUCUCCAGAUGUUACCAUCUGAUUACUAUACACAUAUAUUUUAAUGUUUCAUGUUCCUUACCAUGUACGAAUCUAUUUAUAUAUUCAUAAAGUGUAUUAUAUGAUAAUAAUCUUGACAGUGCAUCUAAACCAGCUAGACUUGGAGCUGAUAGGAAUGGACUUUGCCCUAAAAACUGAUUUGUUGCAACAUUUCUAGGACUUGGAUAUCCAGUAUUUAUCAUUUUAUCAGGCUAAAAGUAAUGAAUGCACGUAAAUGUCUCGAAAUAAUUAUAUUAUAAAGUAAUUACAUUUAACUAGUUUGUAAAAUUUUCAAGAAGACAUUAACUCUUCCUGAGCUUACUGAAGUAAGAGAGUUAUUUUUCUUGCAGGAAAUAUUUUGUUUCAAUUUGUUAUAAAAUUUCUAUAAAAUAUAUUUCAAUAACUAAAAUUUCUAUAAAAUAUUUUAGAUGCUUAUAUGCAGACUACAUAUUAUAACAGUAAUAAAUUAAUUUAAUUUGUAAAAAGUUGAAUAAUAUGUAUUAAAACUUCUUCAAUUACUAGUAUAUUAAAAAUGUACUUUAAUUUUGAAGUAAUAUUAGCAUAAAAUAAAAAUAAUAUAGACAUGAGCAUAGUAUUGUAUUAAAUUUUUUGUUCUAUUUCAGUUUCCAUAGUUACUUUAAUAUCUAUUAGAUAUAUUUUGUAUAAUAAUUACUCUCCUCAAUUUUUUGCACCAUCAAUCAAUUAAUCCUUUGCUUAAUUACCUUUCUUUGCAUGUGAUUUAAUUGUUGCUGCAUUUGGUCAGGAUCUAACUGCCCUGGAGCAAUUAGAUUCAUUUGUUGAGACAUACUAGUUUGUAGGUCACUUAUAUAUAAUAAUCCAAAUUGAUUAUUAAUUUGAUCGGAUAAUUGAUUUUGCAUUUGUGCCUAAAAAGGAACUUUGUUAUUUGUUUGUAUAAUUACAGUAAAAAAUAAAAAUAUAUAAGACAUUUUAUAAUUUGUAGUCUCUACUUCAGUAAUAUAAAUUAUAGUCACUUUUUGGCUUUCCCAAUGGUUAAUAAAAAACUAAGAUAAUACACAAAUUCUACUAAAUUAUUAUUAAAUGGCAUAAGUAACAGAAAUUUAGAAAAAUAUACAUAUAUAUAUAUUUUUUUCAUAUGAAGCUGUUUUCGAGAAAAAUAAGUUUAAAAAUUUGAAGCUCCACAUGAAAAUAUUUUAUUCUACAUUUUCGAUUCAGUUUUUCAUGUAGAAUCACCUCCCGUUCGCUUGUAUCACCAGUUACGGAACACCCUGUAUAUACAUAUAUGCAAAAAAUAUUAUAUACAAAUAGAUGUUAUUUCAAGCAACGUAUUUAAAAUUUUGUUCAGUCUCACAUUGUUAUAAAUUUACUAUAUUGUUAUAAGAUUAUAUUAACUGGGAAAAAAAUUGAAUGUAAGAUAUUUCAUAUAAUUUUAUUUUAAAUCGUCUUUGAAUCUCUCAUUUAUUGCUAAAGUAAGUUCCCUUUAUACACAUAUAAAAUACAUAGUAUCUACAUACUUGCAUAUUUUGUUGCAUUUGUCCAGUAGUAAUUGGUCCCAUUUGAUUAAGAACAACUUGAUUUAUUUGUUGGGGCAUGUUUCCUUGCGCCAUUGGAUUCAUUUGUGUGAACAUUAAAUUAUUCUGCAUAGUCUGAGUUGGACUCAUGUAGCUCAUUGGACUACUAGUUUGAGCAGACAUCAUACCUAUACCUGGUACUUUAUUCUGCAUACUUUGCAUGGUCAUAGGUUGUCCGCAACGUUGAUUUAAGCUUGGCAAUACUGACAAAAAUACAUAAUACAAAAGAAAUUGUUGUAAAUAAAUUUAUAAUUGCAUUACCUUUUAAAAGUUAUUUACCAUAAAAUUUGUAUAUGUUUAAAAUUAUAAUUUUAUGUUUAUGUGUAUAAACUAAUGAAUCCAUUAAAUUUAUUAGCAAAACAUAUAUUAAAAAUUUACAUAUAACAGAAAAUAAAUAAUGUAUAAAGGAUGCAUAAAAUUCACUUAUAAACUGUAUUAUAUAUUUUAUCUUAAUUCUUUUGAUACAACAUACAUUUCUUCUGUAAUCUCUUGGUGUAACUUAAAUAUAUUAUAAUUUUACAAGUAAUUUUUAGUUUCAUAUGAUUUCUCUUCUUUCAUAAAUAUAUCAAAUGCUUCUUUUAAAUUAAAAUUAAAAAAUUCUUUUAACUUUUCUUCCAGUUUUGUAAUGCAUAUUUCCUUUACUUCUUCUGGUACUGCGCUUUUACAGAUGUAUUCAUAUGUAAGGUUAACAACUUUUAGAUUAUCAUCCAAUAUUAACUCUAAAAGAACAACAUCUUCAGAGCUUAUUUUCUCUAAGCCUCUAGGCCAACCUUUUUCCUUUAGCUUUAUUUUUAGAAUAGUUAGAGGUUCAUUCACUUCAAACUCUAAGUCUUUGUAUACAUCUUUCAUUUCAUCAAUUACUUCAUAAAUAUAUAAUAGUUUCUGUACAUAAAUUUCUAAUAAACUUUUACACUUAUGCACUAAUUUAAGAAUUUUUGUCCCAAUAGGAUUAUAUGUACCUUCUCUUACUUUAUUACGAAGAUUUAUUACAUUUGGAACUCUACUACGCCCUAAACUAAUAUACCAUUUGCGUAGUAGUUUUAUGUAAAUAAAUGUUAUUUUAAACUUAAUCCCUGGGAUAUGAGAGUUAUUACUGUCUGGUUUAUAAAUAUAACGUACUCUAUCAUCUGUUAAGACAGCUGUCAUACCGCAUUGCUUUUUGAUCUUUAAUGAAAUAUGUUGUUGUGGUAUUAUUUCUUGAGGAUUUGGUCCUGGUCCACUAAUAUUCAUCAUUUGAUUAUUACCAGUUCCUUGACGUGCCAACAUUUGUAAUGCUCCAAUUGGAUCUGGCAUUCCUUGAUUUCCUGAACCAGCUGUACCUAAAAUAAAACGAAAUGUAGGUACCACGCCCUCACAUCAGGACGAGAAAUGCGGUUCAUCAGGAAGCAAAGAUUACGAAGCUUCACAUUCAAGACUUAACCAAGGAAAGGUGCAACAAAGAAUUGAAAAAAAGCUGAUCUUAAUGUACAAAACUAAACGUGCUCAUGAAAAAAGUUUACCGCCUUCAAAACAUUCGAUUUGUAGAUGCAGUAAAAGUAGAAGCAAAUCUCCGCGAAGUCAAGAGAAAAACUAUUUCUACUUUUAAAAAAGCUGCUGUUCUUUCUGAAAAGUAAAUACAAGUUAUGAAAGGAUUUAUGAGAUUAAAAUCAUUGGAUGGAACAGAACCUCAGUGGGAUAUUAUCAGUCCAGAAGAUGUAGUGGUGAAAAGAAGAGAGGGUAAAUGGUUGUUCUUACAUUAUAAGUUUUUAAUCGUUCUUUUAUACAACAGUGAAGAAGUUUUUAAAAGAAAAAAGAAAAGAAUUUGUAAGAUUUUCUAUGAACCACAAUUGGGAAAUUAUUUUAGGAAUAAUAUCUAGUUUCUAUAUAAAGAUCUUUUUUGAAAUUCAAUAUUGAACUAGACCAAAGAUUUGAAAGUCGUCAAUUUAUAUUUUGCAUCAGUUAAAGAGAGAAAACUCUACCUAACAACUUUUACAACCAUGAAAAUCAUGAUUUUUGAUGGCAUAAUAUAUUAUUUAUAAUAUUUAAAAAUUUACACAAGAGUGCUCUUGAUUUGUAAAGUUAAUAACAUCCUUAAUUUACCCAGGAUAUAGCAGUUUUGGAUUAUAAUGUUUCAUCAUUGUUCCAAUCAUGUAAUGUGAUACUUAGAGCAUUUAAAUCUUUGCUUUAUAUAUUUUUUGUUCGUUUUCAUAUAUAUAUAUAUUUUCAUAGAUUUGCACAAAGUAUCAUGUUCCAGUUAUAUUAACAAGGCAGAAGAACAAGUCUUGUGAAUUUAUAAAUACAUUCUAAGUAUUUGUUUAAUGUGUUGGUGUGGGGAUGUGUGCAUGUUUUUGGUUUUUUAAAAAAUGCCUUAUUCGCUACAGUAUCAACAAUAGAAGACCUAUUAUGCAAAUCUUUUACUUUGUAAAAUUUGUCAACUGAAGAAGUAAAGAUAAAUAACCAACUUUAAUGAUCUUCAAUGAGAGAUAUUCUUUGUUUAAUUUAUAAAUUGAAAAGCCAAAAUUAAACCAACAAAUUUUCGACUAGUAUUGUUAUAUUUAAAUCUUAUAACUGAAUACAUAUUAUUUUUUACGUCUAUUCAUUGCAUCUAAAAUAUGAAAAUUUAUAUAAACUGGUUUCUACAACAUUGAAUACAUUUAAAUGUGAUUAAAUAUUUCAUUUGAAAUGAGUAAAUUAGAUUUUACUGUUUACAAUGAAAGGAGUUCAUGAAUCGGCAAACAGGAAGAGUUAUUGAUCCUCUACAACAUUAUAUCGAACAAAUUCCUAUUUUUAUUUAUUAUGGUGUACGUAUUUUAGUUAUAAACUCACUUAUUAUUUUACAGAAUUUUCCUCCAAGACCAAUAAUGAUGGGACCUUUAGUUCCAACUUGUGGUCAAGUUCCUCUUGGCAGUAAUAGACAUCCUACUAUGAUAGGGCCAUUAUGACCAUUCUCACUGAGGUUUAUUCCUUUGGAUAUGUAUAGAUUAUGUUCACCCAAAAAUCAAAGAUUCGGACCAAUGUUUUAAUGUAAUGGGCUGUGAUAAAAGUUUGCUAAAUUAAGAUUUAUUCACUUUUACUCAUUUGAAAUAAGUAAAUUAGAUUUUAUUGUUUCUAAUGAAAGUGGGAGUUCAUGAAUCUGCAAACUGGAAGAGCUAUUGAUCAUCUCGGAAUAUAAUGAUCGUGGAAGAUAAUCGUCUUGAAAAAUUUCAUUACAGAACGUACUAUAGAUACAGUUCAACUUUCUUGAGUUUAAUUAAAAUAUAUUUGUAAUUUCUAAUUUCAAAUAGAAGUUUAGACUGGAUCUUUUCCUUGUCAAGGAGUUAUAUUUGAUCGCCGUCCUUCCUGCACCCUCCACCGCCGUCGCGUGGUCGAAGGUCUAACGUUAAAAAUAUUAACACGUUGAAUGUCGUACGAUUUUUCAGCAGUUUGGCGAUA